UGGGGAAUAUUGGACAAUGGGCGAAAGCCUGAUCCAGCAAUGCCGCGUGAGUGAUGAAGGCCCUAGGGUUGUAAAGCUCUUUUACCAGGGAUGAUAAUGACAGUACCUGGAGAAUAAGCUCCGGCUAACUCCGUGCCAGCAGCCGCGGUAAUACGGAGGGAGCUAGCGUUGUUCGGAAUUACUGGGCGUAAAGCGCGCGUAGGCGGUUCGAUAAGUCAGAGGUGAAAGCCCGGAGCUCAACUCCGGAACUGCCUUUGAAACUGACGAACUAGAAUCUUGGAGAGGCGAGUGGAAUUCCGAGUGUAGAGGUGAAAUUCGUAGAUAUUCGGAAGAACACCAGUGGCGAAGGCGACUCGCUGGACAAGUAUUGACGCUGAGGUGCGAAAGCGUGGGGAGCAAACAGGAUUAGAUACCCCCGUAGUCC
rnacentral:rRNA from 1 species